AAACAAUACUAAAAACCUGACGACAGACAGACCACUGCAUCCCAAAAUCCUCCAAACUCCAAAUCCUCAGGACACGACUCCAAGAAAUACAGGUCGGUCCAGGGUCUCUAUGGUCAUCGUUAUCUUUGCCUUUAUAUCAGUUGUGGCUGUCGCUGCUUUCACUCCAUGUUUCUCUGACCGUGUAAAUAAGCAACCAGAGGAUGAUGAGACGCAAAGAUAACCUGGCAUUGUUAGGAACGCUGGUGUUAAUGGAGCUCAGAGCGUUAGAGCUUUAUCUUCCCUGGAUCUUCAGUCAGGUUGGGAAUUCAAACCAGCAGCCACAGAGAGACACUCAGGUCCAGCAGCACUGAGAUCAUCAUAAGGUCACUCCUACAAAAGGAUCUUUAGUUGUGAUCAAGUGCUGGCUGAUGUGCAUCACCCGCUG